CGGGACGGGUGAGUAAUGUCUGGGAAACGUGCCUGAUGGAGGGGGGUAACUACUGGAAACGGUAGCUAAUACCGCAUAACGUCGCAAGACCAAAGAGGGGGACCGUUCGGGCCUCUUGCCAUCGGAUGUGCCCAGAUGGGAUUAGCUAGUAGGUGGGGUAACGGCUCACCUAGGCGACGAUCCCUAGCUGGUCUGAGAGGAUGCCAGCCACACUGGAACUGAGACACGGUCCAG
rnacentral:rRNA from 1 species